CCCUUCUGGCAAUGGGUGAAGAGACACCUUGUUGGUGGUGGUGUUCUUUUAUCAGUCAGGGGCAGAGUAGAUGGCAGUUCAUCCUAGCUUGAUAACUAGCUUGGUGGCCAAACCUGUUUUAUACCUAGGACAUAUAA